GACGAACGCUGGCGGCGUGCUUAACACAUGCAAGUCGAACGGAAAGGCCCUGCUUUUGUGGGGUGCUCGAGUGGCGAACGGGUGAGUAACACGUGAGUAACCUGCCCUUGACUUUGGGAUAACUUCAGGAAACUGGGGCUAAUACCGGAUAGGAGCUCCUGCUGCAUGGUGGGGGUUGGAAAGUUUCGGUGGUUGGGGAUGGACUCGCGGCUUAUCAGCUUGUUGGUGGGGUAGUGGCUUACCAAGGCUUUGACGGGUAGCCGGCCUGAGAGGGUGACCGGCCACAUUGGGACUGACAUACGGCCCAGACUCCUACGGGAGGCAGCAGUGGGGAAUAUUGCACAAUGGGCGGAAGCCUGAUGCAGCAACGCCGCGUGCGGGAUGACGGCCUUCGGGUUGUAAACCGCUUUCGCCUGUGACGAAGCGUGAGUGACGGUAAUGGGUAAAGAAGCACCGGCUAACUACGUG
rnacentral:rRNA from 1 species